GUUGACCUCGGAUCAGGUAGGACUUACCCGCUGAACUAAGCAUAUCAAUAAGCGGCAGCAGCUCAAUUUGAAUCUGGCUCCCCUCCGCGGGGUGGCCCGAGUUGUAAUUUGCAGAGGAUGCCUCUGGGCGCGGCGCCUUCCGAGUUCCCUGGAACGGGACGCCAUAGAGGGUGAGAGCCCCGUAUGGUCGGCAGCCAAGGCCUCUGUGAGGCUCCUUCGACGAGUCGAGUAGUUUGGGAAUGCUGCUCAAAAUGGGAGGUAUAUGUCUUCUAGAGCUAAAUAACCGGCCAGAGACCGAUAGCGCACAAGUAGAGUGAUCGAAAGAUGAAAAGCACUUUGAAAAGAGGGUUAAAACAGUACGUGAAAUUGUUGAAAGGGAAGCGCUCGCGACCAGACUCGGGGGCCCGGCGGAUCAUCCGGCGUUCUUCGCCGGUGCACUCUGCCGGCGCCCGGGCCAGCAUCGGCUCGGCCGCGGGGGAUAAAGGCGGCGGGAACGUGGCCCCUCCGGGGGGGUGUUUAUAGCCCGCCGCGCAAUGUCCCGCGCCGGGCCGAGGACCGCGCCCCAGGGCAAGGAUGCUGGCGUAACGGUCGCUAGCGACCCGUCUUGAAACACGGACCAAGGAGUCGUCUUCGUAUGCGAGUGUUCGGGUGUCAAACCCCUACGCGCAAUGAAAGUGAACGCGGGUGAGAACCCCCCUCGCGGGCGCAUCACCGACCGAUCCUGAUGUUCUCGGAUGGAUUUGAGUAAGAGCAUACGGGGCCGGACCCGAAAGAAGGUGAACUAUGCCUGUGUAGGGUGAAGUCAGAGGAAACUCUGGUGGAGGCUCGCAGCGGUUCUGACGUGCAAAUCGAUCGUCGAACAUGGGCAUGGGGGCGAAAGACUAAUCGAACCUUCUAGUAGCUGUCCCGC
rnacentral:rRNA from 1 species